rnacentral:rRNA from 1 species
AUUGAACGCUGGCGGCAUGCCUUACACAUGCAAGUCGAACGGCAGCGGGGGAGGAGCUUGCUUUUCCUGCCGGCGAGUGGCGAACGGGUGAGUAAUACAUCGGAACGUGCCCCGUAGUGGGGGAUAACUAGUCGAAAGAUUAGCUAAUACCGCAUACGACCUGAGGGUGAAAGUGGGGGACCGCAAGGCCUCAUGCUAUAGGAGCGGCCGAUGUCUGAUUAGCUAGUCGGUGGGGUAAAGGCCUACCAAGGCGACGAUCAGUAGCUGGUCUGAGAGGACGAUCAGCCACACUGGGACUGAGACACGGCCCAGACUCCUACGGGAGGCAGCAGUGGGGAAUUUUGGACAAUGGGCGAAAGCCUGAUCCAGCAAUGCCGCGUGUGUGAAGAAGGCCUUCGGGUUGUAAAGCACUUUUGUCCGGAAAGAAAUGGCUCUGGUUAAUACCUGGGGUCGAUGACGGUACCGGAAGAAUAAGGACCGGCUAACUACGUGCCAGCCGCCGCCGUAA